GAUGAACGCUGGCGGCGUGCCUAAUACAUGCAAGUCGAGCGAACUGAUUAGAAGCUUGCUUCUAUGACGUUAGCGGCGGACGGGUGAGUAACACGUGGGCAACCUGCCUGUAAGACUGGGAUAACUUCGGGAAACCGAAGCUAAUACCGGAUAGGAUCUUCUCCUUCAUGGGAGAUGAUUGAAAGAUGGUUUCGGCUAUCGCUUACAGAUGGGCCCGCGGUGCAUUAGCUAGUUGGUGAGGUAACGGCUCACCAAAGCAACGAUGCAUAGCCGACCUGAGAGGGUGAUCGGCCACACUGGGACUGAGACACGGCCCAGACUCCUACGGGAGGCAGCAGUAGGGAAUCUUCCGCAAUGGACGAAAGUCUGACGGAGCAACGCCGCGUGAGUGAUGAAGGCUUUCGGGUCGUAAAACUCUGUUGUUAGGGAAGAACAAGUACGAGAGUAACUGCUCGUACCUUGACGGUACCUAACCAGAAAGCCACGGCUAACUACGUGCCAGCCGCCGCAGUAAUAC
rnacentral:rRNA from 1 species